UUUCGUGGGACCGUAAAAUUUGAGGAAUUCUAUACUGUCACAUUUGCACCACGUCAUCAAUAACAAGAUAAUUACAUUCCUUCUUUUCAAACAAAAGAAUAAUAAAAAUAUUUUUUUACAAUCAUGAUAAGUGGCGGAGUCAUUGAGAGACCCACAGUGGCCAUGGUCCCUCCUAAUUUUUUAAAAUUACAUAAAAAUCCUUUGUAAUAAAAAUUAAAAUAUUAUAAAUUUUAAUUUUAGAGGGGCAAAUUAAUUUUUUUAAUAAAAUUUGUGUCUCAAAUUUUUUUUUUCAAAUUUCUUGAUCCUUUCACUUCAAUUCUUACAGUCUUGUCCCUCUUUGAACAUAUUGUCAUUAUUCUUGCUAGUAAUAACUAAUCAGUAAAUCUGAUAAUUUUUUUUUCUUAUUAUUCGAUGUUGAAUUUUUUUCUAUCAAAUCUAAAUCUUGGUCCCCUGAAUUUUAACUUCUGGUUUCGUCCCUGCAUGAUGAGACAUAUACUCCUAAAAAAAUAUAUUUAAUUAGUUUGUUACGUCAUGAUCAUCAAUAUACCCGUUGUAUUUAUAAAAUU
rnacentral:lncRNA from 1 species